rnacentral:tRNA from 1 species
GGUCUGUUGGGCAAAAUGGUUAAGCCACUUCCCUUUCACGGAAGUAAUUGCUGGUUCGAAUCCAGUACAGACUA